UUCGCUUCUCGGCCUUUUGGCUAAGAUCAAGUGUAGUAUCUGUUCUUAUCAGUUUAAUAUCUGAUAUUUGAGGACUAAUUUUUUCUUGGGAGAAAAGAAAUGACAAUGACAAACCUA
rnacentral:snRNA from 1 species